UGUAAACCUAUAUCUUUUUGUAUAUAUGAGGCCUCUAUUUUUACACUUACGGCCAAUGUUUCUCUACCAAAAGCAAUGAUCGAAAUAUUUUGUGUGUUUUUAUGGAGGUACAAGUGAACAACUCAUAUUGACAAGUGAUAAUCGUAACAGGGAUUUUUUCUAGACAGAAAUCAUAUUUUUCUGAAAACCACAUGGGGGCUAAUCAAUGAUCCACUGGGAUAAAUAGUUAUUCAUACCAAGAACUAUUUGCUUUCAGGACGGGCGUUCGAUGUAACAGCCUGGUACCAUAGGAGGCCAUACCAAGUAAGAGAAGAGUUGUGACAAUUUGGAAAUGUUGCACUUAAAAGUGUCUUUUUUGUAGAUGUCUUACCAAUAAACCGAUGUCUGAAAUAAACAGGACUGUUAAAAAAAAAAUAAACAUGCCUUUGGUGGUUCAAGCUUAUUUGAAAUAAUAAGAGAUGCUAUAGUUACAAGUCACGAAUCUGCAACAGAGACCACAAUAUUGAACUAGUGUGCAAGAUACCUAAAAUAUGCCCCUGAAAUAUCUGGGAAUGUGUCUAGUAAAAGACUAAAAUUUUAAAUAAAAUCAAGUAUUCAGUUUGUGUUUGUUUGAAAUUGUAAGAUGCAUAUGUGAGCAACUUGUAAUAUAAUUAUAGUUUUAUGCCACAGACAUAUUUUGUGUAUGAACAGAAUAGUUAUAAGUAUAUAAAGAAAAAUGAAGGUACAAAAAUGUAUGUCAACUGACACUACAAAAA